rnacentral:rRNA from 1 species
UACGUAGGGGGCAAGCGUUGUCCGGAUUUAUUGGGCGUAAAGAGCGUGUAGGCGGCCAGGGAGGUCCGUUGUGAAAACUCGAGGCUCAACCUCGAGCUGUCGGUGGAAACUGUGAGGCUAGAGUCCGGAAGAGGAGAGUGGAAUUCCCGGUGUAGCGGUGAAAUGCGCAGAUAUCGGGAAGAACACCCGUGGCGAAGGCGGCUCUCUGGGACGGUACUGACGCUGAGACGCGAAAGCGUGGGGAGCGAACAGG